rnacentral:rRNA from 1 species
GAUGAACGCUAGCGGCAGGCUUAACACAUGCAAGUCGAGGGGCAGCGCGAUGUAGCAAUACAUUGGCGGCGACCGGCGCACGGGUGCGUAACACGUAUGGAACUUACCCUUUACUGGGAGAUAGCCCGGAGAAAUCCGGAUUAAUAUCCCAUAAUAAACGAAGUGGCAUCACUUUGUUUUGAAAGCUCCGGCGGUAAAGGAUGGCCAUGCGCACGAUUAGCUAGUAGGUGAGGUAACGGCUCACCUAGGCUACGAUCGUUAGGGGGCCUGAGAGGGUUAUCCCCCACACUGGUACUGAGACACGGACCAGACUCCUACGGGAGGCAGCAGUGAGGAAUAUUGCGCAAUGGAGGCAACUCUGACGCAGCCAUGCCGCGUGCAGGAAGAAGGCGCUACGCGUUGUAAACUGCUUUUAACCGGAAGAACCCUCCGACGUGUCGGAGGUUGACGGUACCGGAGGAAUAAGCACCGGCUAACUCGUGCCAGCAGCCG